ACCUCACAGUGAAAUGCUGACUGACCAGCCCUUAACCAACAGGUGUAGAUAGACCUCACAGUGAAAUGCUGACUGACCAGCCAUUAACCAACAGGUGUAGAUAGACCUCACAGUGAAAUGCUGACUGACCAGCCCUUAACCAACAGGUGUAGAUAGACCUCACAGUGAAAUGCAGACUGACCAGCCCUUAACCAACAGGUGUAGAUAGACCUCACAGUGAAAUACUGACUGACCAGCCCUUAACCAACAGGUGUAGAUAGACCUCACAGUGAAAUACUGACUGACCAGCCCUUAACCAACAGGUGUAGAUAGACCUCACAGUGAAAUGCAGACUGACCAGCCCUUAACCAACAGGUGUAGAUAGACCUCACAGUGAAAUGCUGACUGACCAGCCCUUAACCAACAGGUGUAGAUAGACCUCACAGUGAAAUGCUGACUGACCAGCCCUUAACCAACAGGUGUAGAUAGACCUUACAGUGAAAUGCUGACUGACCAGCCCUUAACCAACAGG